rnacentral:lncRNA from 1 species
GGAUGAAUGGUGAGGUGGUGGUGGGUUUUCAUGGCGAGAUGGGCUUGGGAAUGAUGAUGAUGUGGGGCUAGCAUGGUAUGAUGGUGCAGGACUUGGGAAUGAUGAUGACAUUGGGCUUGGUUGGAUUGAUGAACAUGUGCUUAUGUUUGUUGACAUCACUGCCAUUUCAUUUGGAGAUGGCUUACAUCCCUGUAAUCAAACAAGAUUUUACAGAUUUAGGGUUCUCUAAUUCAAAUUGAAAAAUCAAAAUUGCAUCUUAAUUCUGUAAAUCGAUCCUAAACAGGAAGCAGUUUUGAUAUGUUCUUCAAAGUUGCAAUAAGCCCCAAACCCUAGAACGAGAUUUUAAGUGAAUCGAGGUCUGGAAGUCAACUCAUCCCCCAAUCUUAUCUUGUUCUAACAUAAUAUCAAACAAAUUUUGAAAUAAUUGACCAGGGAAGUGAUUUCGAUAACGAAAUCAUCCUUAAAACGAAUGCAAACAUCUAGCAUUUAACGCUGAGAAAGGGGAUUUAGAAGUAAGUAGAUCUAGGAAAAACCCUAAUUACGAUACAGAUGAAAUUGGAAUUUGGAGAAACAGACCUUGGGAUAAGUGGUGCCGUCUUCUUCAACGACCCAACCAGCUUCAGCGCAGAG